UACGGAGGGUGCAAGCGUUAUCCGGAUUCACUGGGUUUAAAGGGUGCGUAGGUGGGUCUGUAAGUCCGUGGUGAAAUCUCCGAGCUUAACUUGGAAACUGCCAUGGAUACUAUAGGUCUUGAAUACUGUGGAGGUCAGCGGAAUAUGUCAUGUAGCGGUGAAAUGCUUUAGAUUAUGACAUAGAACACCAAUUGCGAAGGCAGCUGGCUACACAAAUAUUGACACUGAGGCACGAAAGCGUGGGGAUCAAACAGG
rnacentral:rRNA from 1 species